rnacentral:rRNA from 1 species
AUUGAACGCUGGCGGCAUGCCUUACACAUGCAAGUCGAACGGCAGCGGACCUUCGGGUGCCGGCGAGUGGCGAACGGGUGAGUAAUAUAUCGGAACGUACCUUUCAGUGGGGGAUAACGUAGCGAAAGUUACGCUAAUACCGCAUAUUCUGUGAGCAGGAAAGCAGGGGAUCGCAAGACCUUGCGCUGAUUGAGCGGCCGAUAUCAGAUUAGCUAGUUGGUGAGGUAAAGGCUCACCAAGGCGACGAUCUGUAGCGGGUCUGAGAGGAUGAUCCGCCACACUGGAACUGAGACACGGUCCAGACUCCUACGGGAGGCAGCAGUGGGGAAUUUCG